UUCAAUGCUCACUUCUUUCAGCCCGUUGUACUGCGGCGGCACUGCCACAGGCAAACCCAGCUGGAGAGGAACUGAUGAGCCUGGAAACGAGGGGAUGAAGCACAGGCCCGACAUGGAGGAUGGAGAGGAGAGGUCUGUGUAUCUAACCUGGUGCUCGCGGCGGAACAGAGGGCGCCGUCCAUGCAGCACUGUGGCAGCGGCCGGCAGAAACCUGGUGGACGCUUUUGCCCUGCAGAGCCGUCACCAGUGUGGGUUCCCUCACAUGGUUUGUGUGGCCCAGACCAAGCUGACAACAAAGUCACCGUGAAUGAACAGCACAUUAUCCAGAUCCAGCAUGAGUCACUCACACUGACCUUUAGAAAUUUUAUAAUAAUAAUUCACUGAGUAAUGGUGAAGACCUUGUGACUCAAAUCAGAUUUGACUGGUUCAUUGUUCCUGUCAAGCUAAUAAAAAAUGAAUUAUUUCAUUGUUUCUAGUCGAUCUAUUUGAAUUUCUCUGAAAAUAUAUUUUUAUUUUUUAGCCUGUGACUAUUAUUACAGACAUUACCAUCUAAGUGCUGGUAAAUCCCACAGGACUGUUGUUUCAUUCAUUAGCAUCAGCUGCCUGACGGCCUGUGUUGGGGGUUAACUACUGUACCUGCCCCUCUGAGUUGCUGCCCCAGGUGUAGACGUCUCCUGUGGAGGACAGCACCAGACUGUGUUCAGCUCCGACAGCUACAUCCUCCACGUGAACGCCCAACAGCGCCGGCACCUGCUGGGGUCGGUUGUGGUUCCUGGCUCGGCCCUCUGGUAAACCAAUCAGGCGGUCUGCAACAGGAAGUCAGAAAAAGAUCCAGUAAAAGAUGAUGACGACGCGGCUGGUCGUACCUGAGGUGAAGACUUGGCUGUGGAAUUGCCCAGACCCAGUUUACCGUAGUCUCCGUCACCAAAAGCCCAAACGGUCAUUCCAUCAGCAGAGACGACCAAAGUGUGGUUCAGCC